UACGUAGGGUGCAAGCGUUGUCCGGAAUUAUUGGGCGUAAAGAGCUCGUAGGCGGUCUGUCACGUCGGAUGUGAAAAUCCAGGGCUUAACCCUGGACCUGCAUUCGAUACGGGCAGACUAGAGUUCGGUAGGGGAGACUGGAAUUCCUGGUGUAGCGGUGGAAUGCGCAGAUAUCAGGAGGAACACCAAUUGCGAAGGCAGCUCGCUGGGACGUUACUGACGCUGAGACGCGAAAGCGUGGGGAGCAAACAGG
rnacentral:rRNA from 1 species